CGCCGCCGCCGGGCCCGCGCCCCCGCCCCCCGCCGCCGGGUUGGCGGCGCCGCACUGGUUGUAGAGGCAAAAAGCGAUGAGCCCCACUGACCUUAAAAAAAAAUAAGAUAAACUCAAAAAUGAUCCCUUUCUGCCAGCUUUCGGGCUCAGGGAAAAUGCAAGAUGGUGCAAACGACCGCCUUUCCGUGCCCCUGAGCCUGAGGAAGGGCGCGGGGGGCCAGAAACAUCGCUUGAAGAUGGGCGCGGGGGGCCAAAAGCUUGCACGCACAAAAAAAAAGCUUGAAGGGCGCGUGUGGCCGAAAGUUUACAGAAAUAGAUCGUUUGAAGGACGCCACGUGUGGCCGAAAGCUUGCAAAAAAAGACUGCUUCAAGCAGGCCGCGUGUGGCCAAAAGCUUGCAGAGAAAGAUAACUCAUGAUGGCUUCACGGGAUCGUUUCUGAGGCGGCGGAUGCCAACCCCAAGCGGCUCUGAGCGGUGCGUAGGCGAACGAGGCACGUGCCUAUUGUCCCAAGUGAAGAAGGGGCCCGGUUGUGCUUAUUUUACAUAUUACGAUUAUUAAGUGAAAAAAAGUAAUAGAAAAAGUUCGGCUGGGGGCCCACGAGCGUGCUUGCCUGGGGCCCACUAAAGGGUUAAUCCAGCCCUGGCGCUGAGAGUCCCCUUUUCAUGUCCCAAGUCAAGUCGGCCAAACCAAUCCCAAAUCCACGUGAAUCGUUCAGGAGCCGUGUGUGGCCCUGCUACUGGCAAGCACCCUUCACCCGCGACUGGGGCUUCAGAUGUUUCCAAAUCCUUUGGCGGGCGUCCUACGUGCAGGCCUGAGCCCAGAGGCUGCGGGUUCGGAUGCCCCGAGUUUUGCUUGUCCUCAGCCGUACGGCGGCAGAAACAAGCUAGGGAGGAGUCGUCUCCUAUUUCCAUGAAGUCGGCGUGUAGCAGAGAUCUUCCCACUGGAAGUGACAGUGGGAGGCUAACCAUGCCUUGCCUCGGUGAGGGUACUACCCCCGUGCCACAUUCAUGGUUAUCCCCUGUCAGUAGGAAAACCACCAUGGUGAACCUGGUAUUUCCCCUGCCUGGCACUGAGAAUCGUCAGCACUUUCUUAUGACGACUUGCCUCAAAAUAAAGAUAUGCUUCUGCUUGGA